AAAAAAGCAGGGUCUGUACUUUUCUCCUCUGAGCUGGCCUCUCGUAAACUUCAGGGAAAUUAUUUGGACCUUUAUUGGGUGAACUAUAUUUGUGAACAAUGAAUAAAGGUUCAAUACAUGUUGCGACAUUA
rnacentral:snoRNA from 1 species